CCUACGGGUGGCUGCAGUCGGGAAUAUUGCACAAUGGGGGAAACUCUGACGCAGUGACGCCGCGUGUGGGAAGAAGUUCUUCGGAUUGUAAACUAUUAUCGGUAGGGAAGAAAAAGAAGGGUCCCGAAUAAGAAACCUCCGGCUAACUACGUCCCAGCAGCCGCGUUAAUACUUAGGGGGCGAGCGUUAUCCGGAUUUAUUGGGUGUAAAGGGAGCGUAGACGGCACAACAAGUCAGUAGUGAAAUGCCGGGGCUCAACUUCGGAACUGCAUCGGAAACUGUGUAUCUAGAGUGCAGGAGAGGAAAGUGGAAUUCCUAGUGUAGCGGUGAAAUGCGUAGAUAUUAGGAGGAACACCAGUGGCGAAGGCGACUUACUGGACUGUAACUGACGUUGAGGCACGAAAGUGUGGGGAGCAAACAGGAUUAGAUACCCCUGUAGUC
rnacentral:rRNA from 1 species